AAAAUAAUAAUAUUCCGAGUAAUAUAAUCUACGGGAAACUAGGAUUUUAUUACCAAAGCUUAGAGCUUUCGGGUUUAUUUGGAAACAAAUGAGCCUUCCAUUUGAAAAGGAAUCAAGACAACAUAUAC
rnacentral:ncRNA from 2 species